rnacentral:rRNA from 1 species
CAGCAGUGGGGAAUAUUGCACAAUGGGGGAAACCCUGAUGCAGCGACGCCGCGUGGAGGAAGAAGGUCUUCGGAUUGUAAACUCCUGUUGUUGAGGAAGAUAAUGACGGUACUCAACAAGGAAGUGACGGCUAACUACGUGCCAGCAGCCGCGGUAAAACGUAGGUCACAAGCGUUGUCCGGAAUUACUGGGUGUAAAGGGAGCGCAGGCGGGAGAACAAGUUGGAAGUGAAAUCCAUGGGCUCAACCCAUGAACUGCUUUCAAAACUGUUUUUCUUGAGUAGUGCAGAGGUAGGCGGAAUUCCCGGUGUAGCGGUGGAAUGCGUAGAUAUCGGGAGGAACACCAGUGGCGAAGGCGGCCUACUGGGCACCAACUGACGCUGAGGCUCGAAAGUGUGGGUAGCAAACAGGAUUAGAUACCCUGGUAGUCCACACCGUAAACGAUGAUUACUAGGUGUUGGAGGAUUGACCCCUUCAGUGCCGCAGUUAACACAAUAAGUAAUCCACCUGGGGAGUACGACCGCAAGGUUGAAACUCAAAGGAAUUGACGGGGGCCCGCACAAGCAGUGGAGUAUGUGGUUUAAUUCGACGCAACGCGAAGAACCUUACCAAGUCUUGACAUCCUGCGACGAUGCUAGAAAUAGUAUUUUCCUUCGGGACGCAGAGACAGGUGGUGCAUGGUUGUCGUCAGCUCGUGUCGUGAGAUGUUGGGUUAAGUCCCGCAACGAGCGCAACCCUUAUGGUCAGUUACUACGCAAGAGGACUCUGGCCAGACUGCCGUUGACAAAACGGAGGAAGGUGGGGAUGACGUCAAAUCAUCAUGCCCUUUAUGACUUGGGCUACACACGUACUACAAUGGCGUUAAACAAAGAGAAGCAAGACCGCGAGGUGGAGCAAAACUCAGAAACAACGUCCCAGUUCGGACUGCAGGCUGCAACUCGCCUGCACGAAGUCGGAAUUGCUAGUAAUCGUGGAUCAGCAUGCCACGGUGAAUACGUUCCCGGGCCUUGUACACACCGCCCGUCACACCAUGAGAGCCGGGGGGACCCGAAGUCGGUAGUCUAACCGCAAGGAGGACGCCGCCGAAGGUAAAACUGGUGAUUGGGGUGAAGUCGUAACAAGGUAGCCGUAGGAGAACCUGCGGCUG